rnacentral:rRNA from 1 species
GGGUUGUGAGGUUAAGCGACUAAGCGUACACGGUGGAUGCCCUGGCAGUCAGAGGCGAUGAAGGGCGUGCUAAUCUGCGAUAAGCGCCGGUAAGGUGAUAUGAACCGUUAUAACCGGCGAUACCCGAAUGGGGAAACCCAGUGUGAUUCGUCACACUAUCAUUAACUGAAUCCAUAGGUUAAUGAGGCGAACCGGGGGAACUGAAACAUCUAAGUACCCCGAGGAAAAGAAAUCAACCGAGAUUCCCCCAGUAGCGGCGAGCGAACGGGGAGGAGCCCAGAGCCUGAAUCAGCAUGUGUGUUAGUGGAAGCGUCUGGAAAGGCGCGCGAUACAGGGUGACAGCCCCGUACACAAAAGCGUAUGUGCUGUGAGCUCGAUGAGUAGGGCGGGACACGUGGUAUCCUGUCUGAAUAUGGGGGGACCAUCCUCCAAGGCUAAAUACUCCUGACUGACCGAUAGUGAACCAGUACCGUGAGGGAAAGGCGAAAAGAACCCCGGCGAGGGGAGUGAAAAAGAACCUGAAACCGUGUACGUACAAGCAGUGGGAGCACCCUUUGGGGUGUGACUGCGUACCUUUUGUAUAAUGGGUCAGCGACUUAUAUUCUGUAGCAAGGUUAACCGAAUAGGGGAGCCGGAGGGAAACCGAGUCUUAAUUGGGCGUUAAGUUGCAGGGUAUAGACCCGAAACCCGGUGAUCUAGCCAUGGGCAGGUUGAAGGUUGGGUAACACUAACUGGAGGACCGAACCGACUAAUGUUGAAAAAUUAGCGGAUGACCUGUGGCUGGGGGUGAAAGGCCAAUCAAACCGGGAGAUAGCUGGUUCUCCCCGAAAGCUAUUUAGGUAGCGCCUCGUGAAUUCAUCUCCGGGGGUAGAGCACUGUUUCGGCUAGGGGGUCAUCCCGACUUACCAACCCGAUGCAAACUGCGAAUACCGGAGAAUGUUAUCACGGGAGACACACGGCGGGUGCUAACGUCCGUCGUGAAGAGGGAAACAACCCAGACCGCCAGCUAAGGUCCCAAAGUCAUGGUUAAGUGGGAAACGAUGUGGGAAGGCCCAGACAGCUAGGAUGUUGGCUUAGAAGCAGCCAUCAUUUAAAGAAAGCGUAAUAGCUCACUGGUCGAGUCGGCCUGCGCGGAAGAUGUAACGGGGCUAAACCAUGCACCGAAGCUGCGGCAGCGACACUCAGGUGU